rnacentral:rRNA from 1 species
CCUGCGGUUUAAUCGGACUCAACGCCGGGAAACUCACCAGAUAAGACAGCUGAAUGAUAGUCGGGCCGAAGACUCUACUUGACUAGCUGAGAGGAGGUGCAUGGCCGUCGUCAGUUCGUACUGUGAAGCAUCCUGUUAAGUCAGGCAACGAGCGAGACCCACGCCAACAGUUGCCAGCUCGUCCUCCGGGAUGGUGGGGACACUGUUGGGACCGCCUCUGCUAAAGAGGAGGAAGGAAUGGGCAACGGUAGGUCAGCAUGCCCCGAAUUAUCUGGGCUACACGCGGGCUACAAUGGGUGGGACAAUGGGUAUCGACACCGAAAGGUGAAGGCAAUCUCCUAAACCCAUCCGUAGUUCGGAUUGUGGGCUGCAACUCGCCCACAUGAAGCUGGAAUCUGUAGUAAUCGUGUCUCAAAAUGGCACGGUGAAUAUGUCCCUGCUCCUU